GUUCGAACUUCCAUCACCAGGGUUCGAACUUGUCACCAGGGUUCGAACUUCCAUCACCAGGGUUCGAACUUCCAUCACCAGGGUUCGAACUUGUCACCAGGGUUCGAACUUCCAUCACUAGGGUUCGAACUUCCAUCACCAGGGUUCGAACCUCCAUCACCAGGGUUCGAACUUCUGUCACCAGGGUUCGAACUUUCAUCUCACUAGGGUUCGAAAUUCCAUCACUAGGUUUCGAACUUCUGUCACCAGGGUUCGAAAACUGAUUGAACGAUUUUAUGAUUUUUUCCCCAGUUAUAGAUGACUGAUAUUAUAAGGAUUUGUUUUGUUUGUUUUAUUAAGAGGAAAUUACAUACAUACAUACAUACAUACAUACAUACAUACAAAUACACACACACACUAUAACUGUUAUACAUAAUUAGUACCUGGUAAUGGAGUAAUUUAUUCAGUAAUUCAUUAAUAUAUAUCCACAUAAUUUCUGCUAUGGAGACAAUAAUAAACCUCUCUGUAUGUAUAUUCAUUCAGUCAUAAUAAGAGUACAAACAAUUUAUAAUCAAUUAAAAGCGUUAUAACAGGUAACUUACAUCAUCCGGCCAGGUAACAUAGGUGUACGGCCAGGUAACAGACAGGUGUACAUCAUCCACAACACUGAUCAGCUUCACCUUGCCCUCUCUCUCCAACCAGGAGCGAACUCGUAACAAUGGUUUUAAAUUAGACAAAUUUAGAUUUAGGCGCGAAAUAGGUAAACUUUGGCUUGGAAAUAGAGUAGUGGAUGAGUGGAACAA